UACGUAGAGUGCAAGCGUUGUCCGGAUUUAUUGGGCGUAAAGAGCUCGUAGGCGGCUUAGAAAGUCAGGUGUGAAACCUCCAGGCUCAACCUGGAGACGCCACUUGAUACUUCUAUGGCUUGAGUUCGGUAGGGGACCAUGGAAUUCCUGGUGUAGCGGUGAAAUGCGCAGAUAUCAGGAGGAACACCGAUGGCGAAGGCAGUGGUCUGGGCCGAUACUGACGCUGAGGAGCGAAAGCAUGGGGAGCGAACAGG
rnacentral:rRNA from 1 species